UGGGGAAUAUUGGACAAUGGGGGGAACCCUGAUCCAGCCAUGCCGCGUGUGUGAAGAAGGCCUUAUGGUUGUAAAGCACUUUAAGCGAGGAGGAGGGUACUGGUAUUAAUACUACCAGGUACUGGACGUUACUCGCAGAAUAAGCACCGGCUAACUCUGUGCCAGCAGCCGCGGUAAUACAGAGGGUGCGAGCGUUAAUCGGAUUUACUGGGCGUAAAGCGUGCGUAGGCGGCUAAUUGAGUCGGAUGUGAAAUCCCCGAGCUUAACUUGGGAAUUGCAUUCGAUACUGGUUAGCUAGAGUGUGGGAGAGGAUGGUAGAAUUCCAGGUGUAGCGGUGAAAUGCGUAUAGAUCUGGAGGAAUACCGAUGGCGAAGGCAGCCAUCUGGCCUAACACUGACGCUGAGGUACGAAAGCAUGGGGAGCAAACAGG
rnacentral:rRNA from 1 species